UACGUAGGGCGCAAGCGUUAUCCGGAAUUAUUGGGCGUAAAGAGCUCGUAGGCGGUUUGUCGCGUCUGCCGUGAAAGUCCGGGGCUCAACUCCGGAUCUGCGGUGGGUACGGGCAGACUAGAGUGAUGUAGGGGAGACUGGAAUUCCUGGUGUAGCGGUGAAAUGCGUAGAUAUUGGGAGGAACACCCGUAGCGAAGGCGGCACUCUGGGCCGGAACUGACGCUGAGGAGCGAAAGCGUGGGGAGCAAACAGG
rnacentral:rRNA from 1 species